rnacentral:rRNA from 1 species
AACGAACGCUGGCGGCAUGCCUAACACAUGCAAGUCGAACGAGACCUUCGGGUCUAGUGGCGCACGGGUGCGUAACGCGUGGGAACCUGCCCUUAGGUUCGGAAUAACUCCCCGAAAGGGGUGCUAAUACCGGAUAAUGUCUUCGGACCAAAGAUUUAUCGCCUUUGGAUGGGCCCGCGUUGGAUUAGCUAGUUGGUAGGGUAAAAGCCUACCAAGGCGACGAUCCAUAGCUGGUCUGAGAGGAUGAUCAGCCACACGGGGACGGAGACACGGCCCAGACUCCUACGGGGGGCAGCAGUGGGGAAAAUUGGACAAUGGGCGAAAGCCUGACCCAGCAAGGCCGGGGGAGUGAUGAAGGCUUUAGGGUUGUAAAGCUCUUUUACCCGGGAUGAUAAUGACAGUACCGGGAGAAUAAGCCCCGGCUAACCCCGU